rnacentral:rRNA from 1 species
UAGGGAAUCUUCGGCAAUGGGGGGAACCCUGACCGAGCAACGCCGCGUGAGUGAAGAAGGUUUUCGGAUCGUAAAGCUCUGUUGUUAAGGAAGAACGAGUGUGAGAAUGGAAAGUUCAUACUGUGACGGUACUUAACCAGAAAGGGACGGCUAACUACGUGCCAGCAGCCGCGGUAAUACGUAGGUCCCGAGCGUUGUCCGGAUUUAUUGGGCGUAAAGCGAGCGCAGGCGGUUAGAUAAGUCUGAAGUAAAAGGCAGUGGCUCAACCAUUGUAGGCUUUGGAAACUGUUUAACUUGAGUGCAGAAGGGGAGAGUGGAAUUCCAUGUGUAGCGGUGAAAUGCGUAGAUAUAUGGAGGAACACCGGUGGCGAAAGCGGCUCUCUGGUCUGUAACUGACGCUGAGGCUCGAAAGCGUGGGGAGCGAACAGG